AUCAGACACGAAGGAGAGGCCAACAGAUGAGGGAAGCCAUUUUUCUGCAAUGGAAUUAAAUGGCCAAGCCCAAGGACUCACAGUUGGAAGACUGGAGAAGACUUUUUAAAAAGAUCUGGAUUUUUCCUUAUGACUUGGAAUCCAUCUUUGUCUUGUAUAACUAGGUCAUAGCACACCAUUCAUGUCAGCAGUUAACAGUUUUGAAUUCCAAAAAAACCUAAAGCAGUAAACAGUCCUCAGCGAAGCCGCCUUUUUGCCUACCCAACCCUGGAAAGUUUGCAGAAGUGGAAGGAGCAGAACGUGAGGGUGUAACUUACAAAAAGGUUCUGGGCCGGAGAAGGGGCGACGUUCGGGCACCCCCCGAAUGGACAAUCUUUCCUUCUGUCAACGGCAGGGGCAGGCCUAGUUUGACUCUGACAGUCCUCCCACUAAGCUUCUGUUGUCAGGCAUUUGGGGCGUGUAAGUCUCUGCCGAAUAUAGCAGCAUACGAGAGGAUCCACUUGCAAGUAUUUCCCAGUUGUGUGUUCUUCGGCGGGGGGAGGGCCCUGGGUGCCGCCUACUUCUGAAAGACACAGGUCACUGUCAGAAAGCCCAACUGUGCUGUGGCCUUCCCUCCAGCCGCCCCCGUGGGGCAUGUGGGGUGACAGUGUGAGCCGUCCUCUGAUGUCUGGCUGCUAGAGAGGCAAAGAACAGAGACCCGAGGUUCCGGCCACCUUUCUCUAUGAAAGGGCCUUCCUUGACGCUUCUCCACCUUCCUGGGAUUGUUUUCUUCUCCAGUCCCCGAAUGGGCAGGCCUGUAUAUAAGCCUUGUUUCUAGAACCAGACAAAGCUGGAUUUGAAACCUGGCGAGCCAUUGAACAGCUAUGGCCUUGCGUAAGCGGUAUAGCCUCCAAGCCUAUUUCUCCAUCUCCGAAAACAGGGCUAGAUCAGUGGUUCUUAGUCUGGAACCGGCAUCAGAAUCACACCGGAAGGGGGGCUCACUGAAAAUGGACCACCGGGCCUGGUGCCCAAGUGUCUGAUUCAGUGGGUUGGUCCUUAGGACUGGCAUUUCUAACAAGUUCCCAGGUGAGGUGAGGCUGAUGCUGUGGUCUGGGAACACAUUUUGAGACUCCAGCCCCUAGCCUGGUAACACCUGGG
rnacentral:lncRNA from 1 species